CUUUGUAAUUUGUAGAUAGGUUGUCAUUGUCAUUCUAAACAUUACAAUUUUUGUUUGCGUUCAUAAUUUAUUAUUUUGUGAGUCUCUAAUGCGGUGAUCGUGAAAAAUGAGUGAUUUCGCUAAUGCCACUGAGGCUGCUUCCCUGGCCGUGCAGUUCGAUCAGGCGGGACAGACGGACAAAGCUGUGGAAUGCUACAGGACAGCCGCGAGAUUGCUGGAUAGAGUUCGGGAUCAAUUUCCUCCAGAAAAACAGCAAGAUGUAAGGAAUAAGGUUCAGGAGUACCUUGAAAGGGCUAACGUUUUGAAAGAGCAGCAAGAAAGGGCCCAACAAGCAAGCAGUGAGCGAGCGAUGCAACAAUGCUACUUCCUCAUGCAACAGGCUCUGGAUGCUGAUGAAGCUAAUUUGAAGGAUAAUGCAUUACAGCUGUAUACUCAGGCGGUUGAAUUGGCUGUUUCUGUUAAAGCAAGUGAUCCAGAUAUAAAAGCAAAGAUAAAAGGUUUAGCUGAGCAAGCCCUUGAUAGGGCUGAGGAGUUGAAAGGUAUUAGAAGGAUUGGAGCUCUUUCUAUUAAUGAACCAAAGAGGCCAGUGGUAACUCCAGUUAAGCCUGUCUUACAAAGAGACCAAAGCGUACACCUAAAAGUAAGUGGAAAGCAGGCCACUUACUCAGAAGAAGAAAAAGAGGUUCUACGUACCACUUCAAAUAUCAACAACAAUUGUUUUCUACCGUUUAUGGACGUAGACUUAUCGGAGAAGUUCCAAUAUGCUAUACCGUUUGAGGAUAGAGCGAGUGAGUUGAAGCUGUCUUCGAAACAGGAGAAGGAAUUUGAUAGCUGGGUGCGGCCGCAUGAGAUAUGUACGGAUCCAAAGAUGAUUGUGGGAGAACAUGUUGACUGUUUUAGUAUUAAGCAGACUAUAGUAUCAGACUGCUCAUUCGUAGCAUCGUUAGCAGUUAGCGCACUCUACGAGAAGAGAUUUAACAAGAAGAUCAUUACUUCCAUUAUCUACCCGAAGAACAAGAGCAAGUCGCCGGUCUACAAUCCCUUUGGCAAAUAUAUGGUGAAGCUACACCUUAAUGGUGUUAGGAGGAAGGUGAUAAUAGACGAUCGCUUGCCGUACAGUAAAUACGGUCGGCUUCUCUGUUCGUACUCGAGCAAUAAGAACGAGUUCUGGGUGUCUUUGUUGGAGAAGGCUUAUAUGAAGGUCAUGGGAGGAUAUGAUUUUCCUGGCUCGAAUAGUAACAUAGAUCUCCACGCUCUUACAGGCUGGAUUCCUGAAAGGUCUGCAAUCCGAAACGGCGAACCAGAUUUUAACGCGGAUGCCUUAUACGAGAAGAUCAGAACUAGAUUAGAAAGAGGUGAUGUGUUAGUCACAGUGGCUACCGGACCAUUGUCAGACGCGGAGGCAGAACGCACGGGGCUAGUAGCCACGCAUGCCUACGCCGUGUUAGACGUCAGACUGGCUAAUGGUGUAAAACUCCUAAAACUCAAAAACCCGUGGUCCCACCUCCGUUGGCGCGGGAACUACUCAGAACUAGACCUAGCGCACUGGACGCCUUCACUACGAGCGUUACUGAACUACGAUCCCGACAGCGCAGCGCAGUAUGACAACGGCGUAUUCUGGAUAGACUACGCGAGUAUACUGAACUUCUUCGAUGUUUUUUACUUGAAUUGGAACCCGGAGAUGUUUCAGUAUACUUAUUGUAUACAUCAAAAAUGGGACGCCGGCACUGGUCCAGCCAAAGACGCCUACAACAUAGGCGAGAACCCACAGUUCUCUCUCCACGUGCAGGGGCGCGGAGCCGUCUGGUUACUCCUAACGCGACACAUCACGCAGAUAGACGACUUCAGAGACAAUAAGGAGUACAUCACUCUGCUCGUAUAUAAGAACGGCCGCCGCGUUUACUAUCCCUACGAUCCCGAACCUUAUAAAGACGGCAUAAGGAUCAACAGUCCGCAUUAUCUAUGCGAGUUACUAAUAGGAGAGAAUAGCGCGGACAGAUAUACUCUGGUUGUGUCACAGUAUGAGAAGAGUAAAACUAUAUUCUAUACGUUGAGGGCUUAUGCUACGUGUCCCUUCACGCUUAGUAAGCUUGAGCCUUAUCCGUAUAAGAAAACUCUAAAAGGCGAAUGGACAGCCCGUACUGCAGGUGGUUGCGAGAACCACAGGGCAACCUACCCAAACAACCCGAAAUUCACCAUCACGGUACCCGAAGCCAGGUCUCCUUGCAACAUAGUGAUAGAACUUAAAGGUCCUAAGCAGUAUCAGAUGGGAGUAGACGCGAGGGUCGAGGCUUUAGAUGACCCUACCGUUACUGCGCCGUUUUUGAAGGAAUCUUCUGGUCCUUAUAGGGCCGGUUUCGUAGUACUAGAGCUACGUAAUCUCCCCGCUGGUCGGUACAUCCUUACACCUUCGACCUUCUACCCAGGACAGGAAGGUCCAUUUUUCCUUGAACUUCGAUCAACUUGCCCCAUUACAUGUGAGGGACGCAACUAGCGAGCUGUUGGCAGAAGGAAGCAAGACGAAAGUAGGUUUUAAUUUCAUUGUAUUAAGGUUGAAAAUCGAAUGCUAAACUUGGCACUGAUUUUGAAUUGAAAACGUUAUUCUUUUUUUGGCAACGUGUGUUCGAUUUUUAAACCUGAUUUUAAUAAAAUGACGUGUAAAUAAAUAAUGAUUUUAUUGUUGAAUGGAUUUUGAACUGUAUGCUGAAGAAGUUAGUGUCUAAAAUGCUUUAAAACGUGUUGCUAGAAUUAUUGCAGUUUUAUUGAUGUUAAAAAUGAUACUGUCUAUAAUAGAUGAAGUCUCACUAGUUUUAUGUAUUUUGUUUGUUCUAGAAUAAAAACUAUUUUUGGUUCUUUUUAAAACUAGAAAAAUAUAUUUUGUAUAGGAAUGUUUUCGUCCACGUAGGCCUAUGUGUUGUGAUUUUAUUUUGUCCAUUUAAAUUGAGUGAUUUAUUUAGAUCUGUAAUUUUAAAAUUAUAUGUCAAAAAUCGUACACACUACAAGAAAAAUAUUUUGAUUGAGCAUAGAAAACUGCACCUUUGUGGUAUUAAUCCAAAAGUAUCGAUUCUGGUUUUAAUUGCCAACAUUUGUAUCGAAGAGAGAGAUGAUUGAGAGAUACAAAUUGACCGUAGACAAUUAGUAACCAUAGUCUUAAUGCAACAUAGAAGAUACGUAAAAAUAUCACAUUUUAAUACAGAAAUAUGUACAUAAAAAUAUCACAAUAUUCCCUAGAAUUGACCAGACAUUUAGUAAGAAGAUUUUCUUAGGCCGAUUAAGUGUUUUCCGCUAAAUACUCGAGGGUAUUCCGAGGGAUUCCAUUUGCGUCGCACGGCACGUUGUUAGCGACAGAGUUGGGUUUGUCUAUGGGGAGUUCUGGUUUUAAAUUCUUGCUUGUCUAUGUAUUUUUUGGUAAGAGGUUUUAUAUUUUUGUAUUUGAAGCGGUUUUGUUAAGUAAAUGGAGGUUGAAUUUGUUGGUCUGAAAUUAUGUAGUAGCUUAAACCUGCUGUAGCUGUAAGAAGCCAAACCUUGACACUGAAAUGAACAUAUCGUGGGCAUAUUGUCGCUGGAUUAAUUCCCUUAUAAUAUUUAGAAUGAAUUAAUUUAAAAAUAUUUUCAUGUUUAACAUUAGGACUAACAAAAUUUUAACGUAACAGAGCUUUUAUCAAAAAUAUAAAGUUUCACCAACCACUACUUUAUUAUAUUUUAAAACAUGUUUAAGCAAAGUUUGUAAAACGAAAAACAGAGUACGAAGCCGCGGUAACAGCUAAUUGCGAUUAUGUAAAUGUGGUCCGUUUUUGUGCACUAAAGUGUACGUUCUCUAAAGGAUGAUAACACCUACUGUAAUGCGGAUGUAUCUAAUUUUUUUUUGUGAGCUUUUGACCGCUUUUUGCAAAUAUUUUUCGGGCACAUUUCGUCACUGUUAGUCUGUGUCAACAGUAGGUAAACUGUUUGCAUCUGACUGAGUGAGCCCGCUAAUAUGUAACGAACUGAAAUUUAAUGUAGCUGGAAACUUAGAUCAAUUUUAUUUUCUUGUUCGUUUUGCUGUGAGUCGGCCACAAGCUGAAAGAGUCUGCGCACGUAACGCUACAAAGUGAACCCAAACUGGCAAAUUGUGGAUUCUCCAUUUUAAAUACAUAUAUGGAAGGACGGACUGAACCAAUACGUCGCAAACUCACUGGGAUGCCAGUUUGCCUACUGUACACAACCUUAGCAUUUGUUCGCGCAUAAAGGUUGCAGUUUCGCCAACAUUUUUAUCUAAAUAUAUGUGUAUGAAUGUAAAUCAAUUGUUUAAUAUAACUAGUCAAGGUAAAUCGUCCAAUCGUGUUCUAAGACCAGAGCAAGAUAAAUAAACGAUACAUAAUAAUCGGUUAGUACAUAUAAAAGGUGUUCAAGAGAGAAUAUUUUAUCUGUGUGUAAGUAAUAUAUGCCUUAUAACAAGAAUAUAAAAUGUUAAAACGUAAAAAAUAGCAAUAAGAGGCCUUAUAUAUGUAUCCAUAUUCUUUUUCUCCUUCGUCUGUACGACAGUUAAAUAUUUCGUUAAAACUGUCAUUAUAGAAAACAACAUUUUAUUAAUAUUAUUUGACGAAAAAUAUUAUAAGUUGUCAAGUACAUUAGGUCAAGAAUUUUUUACACCUCAUAUUCAAAUCAUAGAGAUAAAGAAUAGGUCGUUGCAUAAUAAAAAUGUAUCAGUGAUAGACACAGCCUCAACGUGAUCUCUCUCACGAUUUCUAUAUACCAUGUGGCUCGUCAAAGCCGCAAGGAGGGUUUAGCGUAUAGUUCCACCAUGUAAUUUUGCAAUUCUACAUACAGUAAACCAUAUGACUCCUUGCGCAUUUAUUCGUACAGAUAUUGUCGAGAACGUUUGCUUGUCUGAAGUUGGCUACUAAUGAUUUCACAAAAGUCAAAACAUACACGAACCAAACACUACUGCACCUGCGGCAGACGUCAAGUGACUAACUUCAGAAUUGCAAAGUUACGUGGCGCGAACCAUAUUCUUAUAUCUCUAUGGUUUAAAUUGGAGGCCAAGGCUUGUUCGCUUAUUCUGCCGUUCCGCUCUCAAAGUUACGCAUUUCACAUGUCUCGCUCUGCUGUGAUAAUUUAGUUCUUAAGGUCAAAUCACAGUGUAUUAUAAUAAUGUUAAAAAUGUAUUUUCUUUUUAUAGAAUGUUAAUUAAUAAAUAUAUUUUGAUAAUAA
rnacentral:misc_RNA from 1 species